UACGUAGGGUGCAAGCGUUGUCCGGAAUUAUUGGGCGUAAAGAGCUCGUAGGCGGUCUGUUACGUCGGCUGUGAAAACCUGGGGCUCAACCCCGGGCCUGCAGCCGAUACGGGCAGACUAGAAUUCGGUAGGGGAGACUGGAAUUCCUGGUGUAGCGGUGAAAUGCGCAGAUAUCAGGAGGAACACCGGUGGCGAAGGCGGGUCGCUGGGCCGAUAUUGACGCUGAGGAGCGAAAGCGUGGGGAGCGAACAGG
rnacentral:rRNA from 1 species